rfam:Oryza glumipatula chromosome 6, whole genome shotgun sequence.
CCCUAGUUUCCAAACCCUAGUUUCCAUGUCCAACAUUUGACCGUCCGUCUUAUUUGAAAAAAUUAUAAAAAAAAAUUAAAAAGACAAGUCACACAUAAAAUAUUAAUCAUAUUUUAUCAUCUAGCAACAAUGAAAAUACAAAUUAUAAAAAAAUUUCAUAUAAGACGGACAGUCAAAGUUGGAUACGUAAAAAUAGAGUUUGUCUUUUU